GACGAACGCUGGCGGCGUGCUUAACACAUGCAAGUCGUACGGUAAGGCCCUUUCGGGGGUACACGAGUGGCGAACGGGUGAGUAACACGUGAGUAACCUGCCCACAACUUUGGGAUAACGCUAGGAAACUGGUGCUAAUACUGGAUAUGUGCUCCUGCUGCAUGGUGGGGGUUGGAAAGCUCCGGCGGUUGUGGAUGGACUCGCGGCCUAUCAGCUUGUUGGUGGGGUAGUGGCCUACCAAGGCGGCGACGGGUAGCCGGCCUGAGAGGGUGACCGGCCACAUUGGGACUGAGAUACGGCCCAGAGUCCUACGGGAGGCAGCAGUGGGGAAUAUUGCACAAUGGGCGCAAGCCUGAUGCAGCAACGCCGCGUGCGGGAUGACGGCCUUCGGGUUGUAAACCGCUUUCAGCAGGGACGAAGCUUUUUGUGACGGUACCUGCAGAAGAAGCACCGGCUAACUACGUG
rnacentral:rRNA from 1 species